AUCAUCAUCAUUCAACAAAACAGUGGAAGUAUCAUUGACAGAAGAUAUAACAGAAGAAGCUUCAUCUACUUUUAUAUUAUAUGAUUCUAUCACCGUCUUUGUCACGCCCCGCGCCCCGCCUAUUUGGUCGGGUUCGGGCACGUUAACAGACCGCCGAACGGACAUAGUCUCCCUUGUACGUCCAAGGCGUCGCAAUCAAUACGAUACAAGGAGUUCCGACCAGGAACAAUAUUCAUUCAUAGAUUGCAUAAGGAAGUAUCAAAAAUAUAAAACCACUAAGUUACUACAACAUUCAACUUAGAUACAUGUUACAACACAUUUCUUUUACAUUCAUCUUCCAAAUACAAUCACAAUUAUUACGAUUUAUUACAAGUUUGUACUUUGUCUCUAAACCCCUUAAGCUAG
rnacentral:lncRNA from 1 species